GGCUAACGCUGGCGGCGCGCCUAACACAUGCAAGUCGAACGAACCCUUCGGGGUUAGUGGCAGACGGGUGAGUAACGCGUGGAUAAUGUCCCUCUUUGCUGGGGAUACCGUUCCGAAAGGAACGUUAAUACCGUAUGUGCUUGUUUGGCGGCAUCGUCGAGCAAGUAAACUGUUAGGGUGAAGAGAGCAGUCCGCGUUCUAUCAGCUGGUUGGUGAGGUAACGGCUAACCAAGGCUACGACGGAUAACUGGUCUGAGAGGCUGAUCAGUCACACUGGAACUGAGACACGGUCCAGACUCCGACGGGAGGCAGCAGUGAGGAAUCUUGAACAAUGGGCGAAAGCCUGAUGCAGCGAGGCCGCGGGAGGGAGGAAGGCCGUCGGGUUGUAAACCUCUGUCAGUAGGGAAGAAGAAUGACGGUACCUACUGAGGAAGCUUCGGCUAACUACGUG
rnacentral:rRNA from 1 species